UGUGAGCACAAGCUAUAGAAUGGCCUGGA
rnacentral:piRNA from 1 species